UAGGGAGCGAGCGUUGUCCGGAAUUACUGGGCGUAAAGGGCGCGUAGGCGGAUGUUUAAGUCAGAUGUGAAAUCUCUGGGCUCAACCUGGAACGUGCAUUUGAAACUGGAUAUCUUGAGGGCAGGAGAGGAAAGUGGAAUUCCUAGUGUAGCGGUGAAAUGCGUAGAUAUUAGGAGGAACACCAGUGGCGAAGGCGACUUUCUGGACUGUACCUGACGCUGAGGCGCGAAAGCAUGGGGAGCGAA
rnacentral:rRNA from 1 species